UGCGCUAUGCGAGGGGAGGGGGAAAGGAACCUUUAAUAGAAGCUGCUUCAGUGGACAUUGACCAGGGCUAGCGAGUACGAACACAGCGGCUGAAACGCACGUUCAGCUCGUGGUUCAACAUAAGAGUUCAAACGGACGCUGAGCGACGACGAACCUGCGCUGAAAAACAAGCGAUCAGGUUGCGCGUGAACAAGACGGACAGGUUCCGCACCAGGGCAUGGAGUCUCAGCGUAUCGGAAGAGCUCCUCAUGUCCCCGAGCCAUGCCACAGAAACCCCCCAAAACGAGUUAAACAUAUUAGCGACAUCCGUCAAGUAAAACUGGACAGAGUUUUUUUCCCCGAAUGAUGUAGGUGGGACUUAAAUACUACACAAGUGUAGCCUAGUUUUAAAACCCAUACCACAGUGACGACUAUAUGAUGGGAGCAGCCCACUACAAAGGGGGCUGGGGUUUAAUAAGUUUCAGCUGUGUUCAGGUCAGAAUGGCGGCGGGGGGAGGGGGGGGGUAUGGAAGCUUUUCCACGCGGAUUCCACUAGAAGAUGCUUAAAACAUUUCAAAUAACGCCACGUAAAGAGGCUUGGAGCGUGUAGGCUGCGCACACGCAAGGCGGGAGGAAGAGAGACACAUCCCCGCCAAGUAGCUGAAGCAGGACUAGUCUUAACAAGGCUGCGCACACAAUCACGGGAGAACGAGCAGGCGCCAGUCUGCGGGGAAGGGGAGAGAGGCAGGAGGGACUCAGAGUGAGAGGAGCUGGGAUGGAAAGACGAACCUGCGAGAUAAGCCCAGAUCCUUUAGGCGGACACUGAUCAAAGCAGAUGAAGCGCUACGCCUCCUGCGGGGACUGAGAGCAUAAGGCAGACAAAGCCCUGCGCGGGAAGGAGGAAAGCUCUGCCUGUAAACGGCAGCGGGACUGAGCCCAUCAUACUCCAGUCAACCGACAUCAAAUAUACUGGAGCGUCCAUGUCGCCUAUAGCGCACUGCCAGGCAUGCUCCAGUCGCUUUUCGCGCGUUCCAGAGAAGUUAGAGAGAGAGAGUGUGUGUGUGUGUGCGUGUGUGUGUAUGUGCGAGAGAGAAAGUGUGUGUGUGUGUGUGUGUGUGUGUGUGAGUGAGAGAGAGAGAGAGAGAGAGAGAGAGAGAGAGAGAAAGAGAAAGUGUGUGAAGGGGGGGGGGGGGGUGACCGAUGACUGAUCUAUGCUUAAAAAGAAUAUCAAACAUGCAAAGUAAUGGAUCCCGUUUUAUCCCAACAUUUACUUUGUGUGUUUAAAUGUCAUGAUCCAGAAAAUCGCCGUGAAACGUUUCUGAGUCACGGGCACGUCUUUACGGACACAGUGACCGACUGGCCGCUCGUGCGCAUUUAGCGUGUGGGAAUGCUCAGCGCAGAAUCCUCUUCAUGCUUCACGUUUUCCCUCUGUCUCUCUCUCUCUCUCUCCUUUAUGCACCUCUGUUUCACCACCUUGUUUUUUCUCUGCAGCGCAUGAUGUAUUUGCAUUUCAUACACUUCUCUUUCAGCCAUAGCCAGACAAUACCUUCCUCUCAAAUGAAAGUAUGUUAAAUCACAGCCAAAUUUCCACCGAAGUUGUCUGAAUGUCAUGUAGGCCAAAUGAUCCAAAAGUUCCAGCCACCGACCUCGCCUUCGUACUUUUAAUUUCCCAGUGAUUUACUUUCGUUAUUAAACUAUUUGGAGCUGUGUGUCCCGCUGGAGAUUGUUUCACGUGCAGCAAAAACAAUUAUUUAAAGAAAGUGCACAACUUCUUCCAGCUUGUCAUUCUUUCUUUUCAAAUACAGUGAGAGACACGUGAGAAUCAUACCAACAGGCUGCUCAAUAUGUACAUAAAGUUAUCUAGUUCAUACAAAGAUAAACGAAAAGAGAAAUGCAAAGACUCAGGUUACUUUUUGUAGUGUGUGAAUUGUUGGAUGGAUGGAUUUAUCAGCUUAUUAAAAGCAGCCUAGCCAGCUUUCUCAUGUCUCUACUUUA